rnacentral:rRNA from 1 species
AUUGAACGCUGGCGGCAGGCCUAACACAUGCAAGUCGAGCGGAUGAAGGGAGCUUGCUCCUGGAUUCAGCGGCGGACGGGUGAGUAAUGCCUAGGAAUCUGCCUGGUAGUGGGGGAUAACGUCCUGAAACGGGCGCUAAUACCGCGUACGUCCUGAGGGAGCAAGUGGGGGAGCUUCGGACCUCACGCUAUCAGAUGAGCCUAGGUCGGAUUAGCUAGUUGGUGGGGUAAAGGCCUACCUAGGCGAGCAUCGGUAACUGGUCUGAGAGAGUGAUUAGUCACACUGGAACUGAGACACGGUCCAUACUACUGAGGGAGGCAGCAGUGGGCAAUGUUGGACAGUGGGCGAGAGUAUGGUACAGCCAUGCCGCGCGUGUGAAGAAGGUCUUCGGAUUGUAAAGAACGUUAAGGUGUGAGGAAGGGCAUUAAGUUAAUACCUUGCUGUUUUGACGUUACCAACAGAAUAAGCACCGGCUAACUUCGUG